UAAGAAAGUGAGUGAGAGAGAGAGAUGACAAAUUUGAGACUUGUGUUCUUCUUGCCUCUAUUGGUUCUUUUGCUCUCAUGCUCUAACGACUGUGCUCUUGCGUCUUCACAAGAGUUACCCCAAUCAUCAUCAGGAUGGAGAAGAAUGAUGAGACUGGUGAAAUCAUCAAAUAGUGGACAUGGUGGAGGAGGUGGAGGUGGUGGUGGUGGUUAUCAUUUACCAUUACCGUCUCCUCCACCACCUUUAUGUCCGCCAAUAAAUCAGCUGUCAUCAUCGGUACCGCCACCAUCAAAGACAAUACCACUGCCAUAAAUGGAAGAGAUGAAAAAUAAAAGAAAAAAAAUAUCUCAUAGAAAAUCAUUUGGUCAACCUAUCAGAGAUUGUAAAAAUUAUUCUAUUACUUUAUAUUAGCCGACGAGAUCUAAUACCAUGUGCAUUGGAUUAUUUAGAUAAAAUUGUCCCACAAACCUUUUUUCCUUUUUUUUUUCUCUUGCUUAAGAUUUUUUAUGGAAAAAAAAAUAGUCAACCAAUCGUGGGCCGCCACGUGUCGCGGGGCCCACGAAUAAUGAACAAACAAAACCAAGGACGGUCCCGAUUUUGUAUAUGUCCUUCUCCUUUUCUGCAAGUUUUGGUUUUAGUUUUAAUAGUUUAAUAGAUAGGACUUUUACUGAUUACUCCAAUGCUCAUGCUCUAAGGCAAUAAAACAAAACAAAAAUAUUUUACUUGUUUUCAGAAGUUUAAUUUUAAGUUAGCUAAUUGUACCCUAAUUGAGUGGCUGAGAAAGGUCAGAUUAAUUUGACUUCAUUAUCUUUGUUUCUUUUGUCUAUUUACUAGAAGUCAAACUAUUUUCUAAACAAGUUGUUUCUACGAACACACAUCAUACAAGCCACUAGACCCACUAGGCCUUACCAAAUAUCCCACAUUGACAAUAUCGUAAACGAGUUUUUUCAACAUAAAUUCCAAAAAGUAGCCAUUGUCUUAUCUUCAUGGCUAUAUAAUAGAAGCAUUUGGAGUAGGAGAAGAGUAUCUCAAACCACAAGAAUAACCAAGGAAGAGAGAAAAAAAAAUAUUAUGGUAAAGAAUGGUCUGUUAAACUUGGGAAUUGUGUUCUUGUUUCUAGUGGUUAUUUUGGUUCCAUGCUCUAUCGACAGUGUUCUGGCUUCUCCCCAAGAAUUACUCUCAGCAACAGGCUGGAGAAGGAAGUUGAUUACAUUGCGGCCAUCAGUCAGUUCACGAACUAAGUCUCUAGGUGCUCCACCAUCGCCGCCGCCGCCACCUUUUGUUCCACCACCGUCGGCAAUUUCUAUGAAACGUAUAAGAUAUUUUUAGUUCUAGUGAGAUUUUUUUCUUUUGUAUGUAAAUGUGUUGUAUUAUUAUUCAUCGUAGA